rnacentral:rRNA from 1 species
UGGAAAGGCGCGCGAUACAGGGUGACAGCCCCGUACACAAAAAUGCACAUGCUGUGAGCUCGAUGAGUAGGGCGGGACACGUGGUAUCCUGUCUGAAUAUGGGGGGACCAUCCUCCAAGGCUAAAUACUCCUGACUGACCGAUAGUGAACCAGUACCGUGAGGGAAAGGCGAAAAGAACCCCGGCGAGGGGAGUGAAAAAGAACCUGAAACCGUGUACGUACAAGCAGUGGGAGCACGCUUAGGCGUGUGACUGCGUACCUUUUGUAUAAUGGGUCAGCGACUUAUAUUCUGUAGCAAGGUUAACCGAAUAGGGGAGCCGAAGGGAAACCGAGUCUUAACUGGGCGUUAAGUUGCAGGGUAUAGACCCGAAACCCGGUGAUCUAGCCAUGGGCAGGUUGAAGGUUGGGUAACACUAACUGGAGGACCGAACCGACUAAUGUUGAAAAAUUAGCGGAUGACUUGUGGCUGGGGGUGAAAGGCCAAUCAAACCGGGAGAUAGCUGGUUCUCCCCGAAAGCUAUUUAGGUAGCGCCUCGUGAAUUCAUCUCCGGGGGUAGAGCACUGUUUCGGCAAGGGGGUCAUCCCGACUUACCAACCCGAUGCAAACUGCGAAUACCGGAGAAUGUUAUCACGGGAGACACACGGCGGGUGCUAACGUCCGUCGUGAAGAGGGAAACAACCCAGACCGCCAGCUAAGGUCCCAAAGUCAUGGUUAAGUGGGAAACGAUGUGGGAAGGCCCAGACAGCCAGGAUGUUGGCUUAGAAGCAGCCAUCAUUUAAAGAAAGCGUAAUAGCUCACUGGUCGAGUCGGCCUGCGCGGAAGAUGUAACGGGGCUAAACCAUGCACCGAAGCUGCGGCAGCGACGCUUAUGCGUUGUUGGGUAGGGGAGCGUUCUGUAAGCCUGUGAAGGUGUACUGUGAGGUAUGCUGGAGGUAUCAGAAGUGCGAAUGCUGACAUAAGUAACGAUAAAGCGGGUGAAAAGCCCGCUCGCCGGAAGACCAAGGGUUCCUGUCCAACGUUAAUCGGGGCAGGGUGAGUCGACCCCUAAGGCGAGGCCGAAAGGCGUAGUCGAUGGGAAACAGGUUAAUAUUCCUGUACUUGGUGUUACUGCGAAGGGGGGACGGAGAAGGCUAUGUUGGCCGGGCGACGGUUGUCCCGGUUUAAGCGUGUAGGCUGGUUUUCCAGGCAAAUCCGGAAAAUCAAGGCUGAGGCGUGAUGACGAGGCACUACGGUGCUGAAGCAACAAAUGCCCUGCUUCCAGGAAAAGCCUCUAAGCAUCAGGUAACAUCAAAUCGUACCCCAAACCGACACAGGUGGUCAGGUAGAGAAUACCAAGGCGCUUGAGAGAACUCGGGUGAAGGAACUAGGCAAAAUGGUGCCGUAACUUCGGGAGAAGGC